GCUCUGAUGAGGACAUCGCACAUACUUUCACCUCCACUUCGCUGACGCCGCUCACUCCGUUGUAGUUCUCCGAUCUCCCCAAAGGGCAACAACAAUCAUCAACGUCAAUCAUCCUGAACCCGCAGACUGCAGUACCAUUAACAGAGGUUUGUUAGUGAAUCGUCAUCAAGGUGGAUUUUGCGGUUCUUGACAACAGAAUCAUUGAGCUGCUUGAUCAACUAUGCAAAUUGUCAGCGAUUUUCAGAACUGGUUCCUAGAUGAUGUGCAUAUCAAGCUACAGUUUUGGGUUUUUUUUUGCACAGGAUCUCCAAGAGUGGGAAGUUUCACAGGACCCCGAACUUUGAGAAUUCAUCAUUACAGAGUUAAAAAGUAAAAAUAAAAUGCCUAGCAUCCCCCUUAGUAACUGUUGUAUAAAAGUUGGAUGGUUAUAAUUUUAGUUUUGCGGUAUUAUCCUUUUCAUUUCUUUGUUUUUUACAAUUUUUGAAGUGAGAAUCUGAUUUUAGAUGGAUGGCAAAUUUCAUCUUUACUGUUCACAUUCCUGUCUCUGCCUAUACCCUAUUUCAACUUUGAAACUGAAAUUUGGGGAAACGAGCCGUCAUUGGUAUUUCUCAAGUGAUCUUGAACUCUACAAGGAUUUAGUGACAUACAUUAAUUUUACAUUUGAACUGACAUGAACGUUAAUUCUUAUCAUCUUGGUGUACGUUCUAUAGAUAACAUUUGAACUGUUAGUUUUCUCCAUUCCAUGUGCUCAGACGAUGUGUAUUACAUCUGGCGUUAACGGUUACUUUUUAUUGAUUUCGUUAGUUUCAAAA